rnacentral:rRNA from 1 species
UACGGAGGAUGCAAGCGUUAUCCGGAAUGAUUGGGCGUAAAGCGUCCGCAGGUGGCUAUGUAAGUCUGCUGUUAAAGAGUCUAGCUCAACUAGAUAAGAGCAGUGGAAACUACAAGGCUAGAGUACGUUCGGGGCAGAGGGAAUUCCUGGUGUAGCGGUGAAAUGCGCAGAUAUCAGGAAGAACACCCGUGGCGAAGGCGGCUCUCUGGGACGGUACUGACGCUGAGACGCGAAAGCGUGGGGAGCGAACAGG